rnacentral:lncRNA from 1 species
CAAUGGGAGUAUGACUUGGGCAGCUCCAGCUGGCUCCUCUGCUAGUCUUGCCGCAGUCACCAGUUUUGGAGGAAUGGGAGAGGAGCUUUCCACUCCUCUGAGAGUCAUGUCGAGAGUCUGUCUUAGCCCUCGACCCCUCAGUCUUUGUAGAUCUCAUCCCAGAACCCCGAGGGAGAGGUAAUUGCUGAAGGAUUUUUGCUUCAAACAGGCUCUUGUUUGCAUCAAGUGUGGGGUGCAGCAAAGUGGACUCGGGACUGGCCGAUGUCUGGCCAGAAAUGCCAGGCAAGGGAAACAGUGACUCUAGUGGGGUCAGGAGAGGGGCAUCUGCUGGCCCAGGAGCGCAAGGCAGAGGGGAGAAGUUCUGGUCUCUCCUCGGUGCUGCGGCUGCCCCGGGAAGAGUUUCCAGGAGCUGACAAGCAUUCAGAUGAGUAAAGAUGGGAUCGGAUUGAGAAAAGGAGAAGGGAGAGCAUAUUCGUUCUCUUUCCACCUCCCUCCCACAGCCUUUCAUGCUGAUCUCAUCUGACGAAGCUGCCUCCUCCUCCCUGGACUCUACAAGCCCCUGUCAUGAUGUUUCUCAGAUCCUGAAUUCCAGCGAAACAGAUGAUACUAACAAGUUUGAAGACCCCCACAGAGGAAUGGAAUCAGUAUGAGAACACAGUUUCUUCAUCUCCCUGUCCCAGAACUUCACCCUGGACUCCUCGACCAAUCAACAAUCUCCACACUUCGGCCCACUCCAAAACUCCUAAAAUCCCAAGCUCCAAACUCCUCUGGGAGAUGGAUUUGAGGCUUCCUCCCGUUUCCUUGUGUGGAAGCCCUGUCAUUAAACCUCUUUCUCUG